GAUUUUGGGGUUUUUCCCCCAACAUCGAUAAAUCUGCUAACUUCUGAAAGAAACUCAAUUAGAUCCCCUCGGUGGAAUGGAUGGGCUCUGAGACGUCAGAAGGGCUUUUUGAGGACUAGGAAACCAAUGGGUUAGAGGCAGCACAAAGAUUCUCCAAUAUACUGACGACACCCUCAUUUUUGCUAAGGCCAAAAGAGAAUACAUUGCUGCUUUGAAGAUCAUCCUCUACAGUUUUGAGCUGGUUUCAGGCCUCUCAAUCAACUUGCUGCAGAGGGUGGCAUCUAGGCUGGCCAUGUGGAAAGGCAAAAUUCUCUCUUUUGCAGGAAGGCUCAUUCUUAUGAACUCGGUCCUCACUUCACUUCCUCUCUAUUAUUUAUCUCUUUUAAGAAGGUACCAGUUUGGGUCUCUAAGAGGAUUGACAGGUACAGAAGAUCUUUUCUGUGGUCUGGCCCGGCCAAUGGAGGGGGGCUAUCUUGCAAGAUGAAUUGGCCAUCUGUUUGCAUGCUCAAGGAGGAGGGCAGACUGGGGGUGAAAAAUCUCCAGCAACUUAACUUGUCUCUCUUAUCCAAAUGGGGCUGGAGAUUGCUCUCUCCUGAUCUGAGGCUAUGGAAGAAACAAAUUCUUUUUGCCUAUCACAGAAGAGUCAAGCUCUCCCCAAAUUGGAAGACUUUGCAAAGGUGCUCAAGCCUUUGGAAAAAGGUUAGAGGUGUGCUUCUAUCUUUCUGGAACCGGGUCCGCUAUAGGUCAUGGUGCACUCUUCUGGAAGGCAGAUUUUCCCGGACCUCUAUGUCUUGAUCAGGAGAAAACAAGGCACUGGGGCAAGGUUUUUCCACUACAGAACUUCAACUUGGAGAAUUAGAUUGCCUGAAGUUGUUCCUACUGCGGUCCGUGCUCAAUUCACUCAGCUCUCCUCUCUUUUGGCAUCUGUUACUCUUAAUCAGGAUUCAGGAGGAGGAUCAUCGUUCUGUGGCAGGCCAACAGCAAAGGGACCUUUUCCUCUUCAUCCCUAUAUCAAUUCCUCAACUUGAGAGCGGUGAAAUGCAGCUUUGCUUCCUCACUCUGGUGCUUGCCUAUUCCUCUUAAAAUCAAAUAUUUCUUAUGGAUCUGUUGGAAAAAGAAACCGAACACGAGAUCUAAUUGGCAGAAGGCUCGGAAAGAACCUUGGUGGGUGCGUGAUUUCAACCAAGCUCUAGAGAUGACCGACCAUUUAUUCUCCUCCUGUCAUUUAUUCUCUUCGAUUUGGAAGACUAUAUGCCUAGCUCUAGGAGUACUUCAUCCACAAGCUUCUCUUACUUUCUUUGUUUAAAAUGGCUCAAUAAAAAAAUUUUUAAAGGUGCGACCUCUAAUUCUUAUGUUGUAUGCUGCUUUUGUAUGGGUGUGUGGAAGGAGAGAAACGCCAGGCUAUUCCUCAAUAAGAGGCGCUCGAUUGCCUCGGUGGCUUUGGGUGGAUUACUUUUGUCAAUGAUUGGUUUACCCUCUGUGACCACAACCUCCUAUUCCUCAAUAAGAGGCGCUCGAUUGCCUCGGUGGCUUUGGGUGGAUUACUUCCACAACCUCCUACUUGGUUAGGAAGAUAACCUCUAGCCUCUCUGCUACCUAAUAUCUUAUCAAUCUGGUUCCUUGCUUUAGGUUCUUUCUUCUAUGAGUUGUCAAUCAUUCAGCUUGUAGUUGAUUUGUAAAUAUUUCGUUUGAACAAACUUUGGGUGGUCUUCUACCUCCCUAUUUUCCUAAAAAAAAAUGUUGAUAAUUAGAGUAUCUAGAUGAAGAUACUCUUUGGUUAUCAAGAAAUACUUGAUGUUGUGGAAGUUGAGAGUUGCUGAAGUUGGGGAGAAUCCAACCAACGCCCAGCAACAAGCCCCCUGAGAGAACAAAAAGAAAGAUAAGAAGGCAUUAUUUUCAUUCAUCGAGGUGUCGAUGACACGCUACUUGAGAAGAUCUCUGGGGAAACUACGGCAAAGCAAGCAUGUGAUAUUUUAAAAUCCUAUAAAAAAAUCCAAGAAGGUCAAAAAAGUGAGACUUCAAACUUUGAGAUGUCAAUUUAAGCUUUUGCAAGUGGAAAAUACUGAAACUAUUUAUGCUUAUGUAUCUCGAGUAUUGGCCUUGACAAAUCAAAUGAGAGCAAAUGGAGACAAGAUUGAAGAACUUGCCAUGGUGGAAAAGAUCUUGCUAACAUUACAACAAGAUUCGAACACAUUAUCGUGGCAAUUGAAGAGUCGAAGGACUAUCCACAAUGACAGUCGACAAGUUAACAGAAUCACUAGAAGCUCAUGAGCAUCAGUUGAAUGAGAAAGGCGUAGAGAAACCAAUCAAGUGAUAGAGAUAUUGGUGCUACGAAAGGUCAUAGCAGAGGCCAUGGUAGAAGCCAGCGAGGUAAUUCUAGAGGACAUAUAUAGAAGCACUCAUGGUUAUGGUACAGUAAAUGGCAGGAAUGAGUCUCACCAUUCAGAUGGUCACCAACUUGAUUCAAGCCAACAAACCUCACAAAAAGGAUGUGAACAAUGGCGAGGAAGGUAUGACAAGUUACAUGUUAAAUGCUAUAAAUUGUUAUCGUUAUGGGCAUUAUGCAUCUGAGUUCAGAUUCAGAAAAGACAAUUAGUCUGGAGAACAAGCUCGUUUUGUACAAGAAGCAGAUGAUGCAAAAUGUCACACUCUCCUUAUGGUUUCUUUAAAAGAGGAAGAUGCAGGCAAAGACAUUUGGUUUCUUGACACAGGCUGCACCAGCCAUAUGACUGAAAACAAGGAGUUGUUUGUUGAUUUGGAUGAAUUGGUGCUGACUGUAGUCAGAUUUGCAGAUGACAGUAUGGUACCGGCAAUAGGUUAUGAUAUGCAGUUGGAUGAUAAGCACAAUGCCAUCUACGAUGACAGAGGUAACUUCAUUCUAAAAGCUCCACUAUCAAAAAGUCAUAUGUUUCCAGUAGAAGUUAAGAGUGAUAUUUAUCUUUGCUGGAGUGCUAAUGCAAAAGAUGAGUCAUGGUUUGGCAUCUUA